UAGGUAUGGAAGAGAAACAACCCUUUUUGGGUACUAGGUAUGGAAGAGAAACAACCCUUUUGGGUACCCUCUCACAGGGUACAAGGUAUGGAAGAGAAAACCCCAUUUUGGGUACUAGGUAUGGAAGAGAAACAACCCUUUUUGGGUACUAGGUAUGGAAGAGAAACAACCCGUUUUGGGUACUAGGUAUGGAAGAAAAAGAACCCGUUUUGUGUACUAGGUAUGGAAGAGAAACAACCCGUUUUGUGUACUAGGUAUGGAAGAGAAACAACCCUUUUUGUGUACUAGGUAUGGAAGAGAAACAACCCUUUUUGUGUACUAGGUAUGGAAGAGAAACAACCCUUUUUGUGUACUAGGUAUGGAAGAGAAACAACCCGUUUUGGGUACUAGGUAUGGAAGAGAAACAACCCGUUUUGGGUACUAGGUAUGGAAGAGAAACAACCCUUUUUGUGUACUAGGUAUGGAAGAGAAACAACCCUUUUUGUGUACUAGGUAUGGAAGAGAAACAACCCUUUUUGUGUACUAGGUAUGGAAGAGAAACAACCCUUUUUGUGUACUAGGUAUGGAAGAGAAACAACCCUUUUUGGGUGCUAGGUAUGGAAGAGAAAGAACCCGUUUUGGGUACUAGGUAUGGAAGAUUAUAGUUUGAAGUGCUGCCAUAGAGGUUGAUCUAUGAUUUGUAAAUUAAUCAUUAUGAUUUCAUGUUAUAAUGUCAACCUAUCCGAUGAUAUUCAAGCAGCAGGUAGUGUUAUUUUAUGAUAGGCCUAAUCUCAGCAGGUGAGGAAAGGUUGACAUAAAAAUGCACUUUUCAUGAAUUAUUUGUUAUUGUGCACUAAAAAAAAAGGUCUGAUUUGCAACACUUGUCAAAGCUUUAUGGAGCAAGUGCUAUGGAAAGGAGAAUUGCUAUUAGUGAUAAAAGCACAGAGCGAUAAUACAAGACUGCUCCUACUUGUGACGCAUCACCCUAACGAUCCAAACCAUUAAACACUGGACCUAAAUAAAAUAAAAACACCAUGUCAGAUAUACAAUGUUGAUUUACACGAAUAAAGAGAAAAAAACAGUAAGAAUAAAAAACAUCGUCAGAGAACACUCGGUAGAUACCUAGAGAGAGAACGGGAAUGUCAAAUCCUGACAAACAGCUAAACUGCAAUUAAAUUGACGUAUUGAUCAUGUUUACUUGUCAAAACAAUCCCCUACAAUCGCCAAAGCACUGAGAUGCACUGAGAUGCAGUAGAUGUCACUAUAGUCCCUGGUUCGAAUCCAGGCUGUAUCACAUCCGGCAGUAAUUGGGAGUCUCAUAGGAUGGAGCACAGGUUUGGCCAGGGUAGGCAGUCAUUGAAAAUAAGAAUUUGUUUUUAACUAACUUGCCUAGUUAAAUAAAAAACGCUGUAUGUACCUUACUAAAUACUUGCUGUAUACUUUCGGUGAAUGGGACUAAAUUGGGAAACAUACAGAUUUCCCUGGAAAUCAAUAUGAACCCCCUAAAUAAAUGUGCAAGGCGUACACGUUUUGCAGGGUUAUGUGGCUUGACAGUUAAAUGAGGCCAUUUUGAAUGCUCUUGCCUUUGCCUUGUGAAUUGUUGAUGGAAAUCUUGACAGAAACAGGAGGCAGAGCUGUUGGGUUUCUGGCAUCUCACCCUCAGCUCCCCAAACAUUCUUAAUUAUGAAUAAAAAAAUCCAACUCCUGGGUUAACCGUUGCCAUGGACACAGAGCUCUUAAAAAGCCAGCUUGAAGGUGUAUGGUGCUGUCUGUUUUUGGCACAAAAUGUCAGACAUCCCUGUGUAUUUGCAGAGCUGGGAGGGAUAUGCUCUUAAAGGGAAAUGUCAAAAAUAUACUACUUCAUAUUCAUCAUCUCCAGCAUCAUGCUGCUUUUGCAACAGCUAAUGGGGAUCCUAAUAAAAUACCUAAAAUACCCCAACAUAUGUGACAACGCAGCGUUUCUAUGUUUUGUAGUAAAACAGAGAAAGAUGAAGGUUUCCAAUUACAUCGGUCUGCAUUGUGUGAUUUUAACCAAUUAUGAGUAGGCAUUGCUUACUAAUUGCCUCCUAAUUGGUUGAGGAUGUCAUUGGAAUCAGUUAUCUUCCUCAAUCUUUUUUUACUACAAAACAUAGAAACGUGUCAUUUUCACAUAUGUUGAUGUUGGGGUGGUGCUGGAGAUGACUAUGAAAUUGUCUUUUUUAAACGUAAAUUCCCUUCAAGUAUAAUUUUUUUGUCAAUCAUUUCUCACAGGUGGCAGAAAAAUGGAUAUGUGUGAGGGAGAAAGCUGUAAUAUUCUGUUACCAACACAAGGGCAUGAAAACUGCUCAAAUGUCAAUGUAAUUUGUCUUUUAAUUGAAGG